rnacentral:lncRNA from 1 species
AAUUAAAAAAAAAAAAAAACUAUAAGUAGAACUAGUAAGUUGUUCAUUUAAGAUUUCGUUUGGUUCGGGAUUAAGUAAAAACUAGUUAUUUCAAAGAUAGUAUUAAGUUCAGGAUUAAGGUAGGAGUAGAGUAAUUUUGUGUUUGGUUAAGAAUUGAGUUUAGUUCAGAUAUAAGUAAAAUAGUGUUUGGUUGAAGUAGGUGGAAUAAAAAGAAUCGUGGGUUGUUAUAAAUAGAAAAUAACGAUUUUAAGAUUACAAAUUAAAUAUUUUAAAAUUUUCAAAUAUCAAAUAUCAAAUUUAAAAUUUAAAUACUUUAAAUUUAAAUUUUAAUUUAAAUUUUAAAAAUAUUAAUAUUAAUUUUAAGAUUACAAAUUAUAAAUUUUUAAAAUUUUUUAUUUAAAUUAAAAUUUCAAAAUUAUAAUAAAAAUUAAAUUGGCGUGGAAUUAACUUUAAUCCUACCCCUAUUUUUGGGGGGAGGUAAAAUCAUGUUUGGGGUUAAAGGGUGGGGGGAUAACCCCCUUAUCUCCUCCUUUAACCCUAAACAAUAUAUUAAGAUUUCUAAUAUUUGAAUCUGAUUAUUUUUGCAGCAAUGGUGCAGACAUAAUUAUUUGGACAAAAUAUUGGUUAUUUGUUAUUGACUGAAAACAGAUCUAUUUUUUUUUUUUCUGUCAUAAUAGGCAGUUCAUAAUAAAUCUAACGGCAAGAAACUCAACAAUAAAUCUAAUGUACAAGUGAGUUGAGUCAUAUCGAGAUCCGUGACAGCCGUGUCCGAGCCAUUAAGUGAGAUGAGCGUACUCUUUCUAUCAGCACGUAAUUUUUUAAUAAUUAAUUGAUUAACAUUUAUGAUCCAAGUAAAGGACUAUGGAGAAAUUUUCCUUUCAUUAAUUUUGAAAAUAAUAUGUCCUUCCUUCUUUGAUGUGAUCAGUCCCUAUCCUGCUUAAUGACAUGUCCUUUUUUUUCAAUUAAUUUUUUGGGAAAACUUCAAAAACCCCCUUGUGGUUUCGCAGUUUCUUACUUUGCCCCCCUGUGAUUUAAAAUGUAUCAAUUUGCCCCCCUGUGAUUUUUUUUUCUCUUUUUCUUAUCAAUUUCAUUAUUUUGUUUUCUUAAAUCAGUGAUAAAGUUAAAAUUAAAGGAUACUAAAGUGAAUAUUUGAUAAAUCUAGAUGGGUAUCUAAAGUUUUUUGUAUAUAAUUUAAUGAAAUAUUAACGAAAAAACUAUCGAAAAGAUGAAAACGAAACUACAGGGAGGCAAAUUGAUAUAUUUUAAACCACAGGGAGGCAAAGUAAAAAACUACGAAACCACAGGGAGGUUUUUGAAGUUUUUUCUAAUUUCUUUACUUCUGAU